rnacentral:rRNA from 1 species
AUAAAUGAAAGCUUCUGCCCGAUCAUGUCAUGGAACGUCCGCGGCCUAAACCAGCCGGCGAAACGGGCGGCGAUCUGUGAGGUUGCUGUCACAAUGCACAAAGCAGCAAUCCUGUGCUUGCAGGAAACCAAGAUAGAUGUCUGGACACCCACCAUCGUCAGGGAAAUUGGUGGCGCUGCCCUGACUGAUUACGUCAUCCUCCCUGCGAUCGGCUCCCGCGGCGGAGCGGAGAUCUUCUGGAACACUGAGCUAGUUAGCAUCGCUUCCCACGCCAUAGGCGAAUUCACCAUCACUGCCAAGGUGAUGCUUCUCCGACAAUCCAAAAGCUUCUAG